rnacentral:rRNA from 1 species
UACAGAGGUCUCAAGCGUUGUUCGGAUUCAUUGGGCGUAAAGGGUGCGUAGGUGGCGUGGCAAGUCUGAUGUGAAAUCCCGGGGCUCAACCCCGGAACUGCAUUGGAUACUGCCAUGCUUGAGCACUGGAGAGGAGACUGGAAUUUACGGUGUAGCAGUGAAAUGCGUAGAUAUCGUAAGGAAGACCAGUGGCGAAGGCGAGUCUUUGGACAGUUGCUGACACUGAGGCACGAAGGCCAGGGGAGCAAACGGG